rnacentral:rRNA from 1 species
GUCCUAGCCGUAAACGGUGUGAACUUGGUGUGGGAGGAAUUAUCCCCUUCCGUGCCGUAGCUAACGCGAUAAGUUCACCGCCUGGGGAGUACGGCCGCAAGGCUAAAACUCAAAGGAAUUGACGGGGGCCCGCACAAGCGGUGGAGCAUGUGGCUUAAUUCGAUGCAACGCGAAGAACCUUACCUGGGCUUGACAUGUGACUGGAUGCCCCGUGAAAGCGGGGAGGCCUUCGAGGCUGUCACACAGGUGCUGCAUGGCUGUCGU